CUCACCAGUCGAAUUUUUGCUUCUCGCUCAGCGUUGGCGGUGUCGUCUGACGCUCGCUGUCCCUCUUGCGGUGACGGUUGUCCGCACCUGUCCAGCGGUGAUGCUCUGGUUGUUGCUGUCGUUGCAGUGGUUGUAGCUGUUAUUGCCUUCUUCGCGCACACACUCGCAGCAAUACGUAUGCACACAAUUUUUCGUACAGACACCAAUUUUCCGACCUCUUUUUUUUCUUCUCGGUGGACCGUCUCCAACCUCGAUCAAGAAUCAACUCCUCUACUCAGCAAAAUCCACAUGCUAACCUCUCGUGAAAAAAGUUGACGUUCUUUUUUCAUCUCAUAUUUAACAGGAGGAGCAUUUUAAAACUUCCUCCCUCCCCUGGAGUUACCAUUUCUUAUCUCCGAUAUAUCGCCUCGCGAUAUAUCGAUAACCCCCCAACUGCUGGCACAAACGAUACCUAAAAACAUAACAAUUAAAAUCAAUCUCGAUUACAAUUAGUCAAAUCGACAUUCGUGCACAACGUCACCGUGGGCAAGACCAUGAUACAAUUAUACAUACAUGUAUAAUUGUAUCAUGGGCAAGACGAGAGACGGCUCUCACAACAAAGAAACAACGCGUACUUAUCUUUUAAAGCGAUCGAUAAUAUUGCAAGUGCGGUCAAUAGGGAUGUCGAAAAUAUAUCAAAAUAUAUUUUCGAAAAAAAAUAAAUAUUUUUUAUCAUGAUAUUUUAAAGCCGUAAUAUCGAUAAAUAAAUAUUUUUUUUUAUAUUUUCCGAUAUUUUGUUUUCGGUCAAACUAUUCAUUUUCAAUUGGAAACCCGCAAGUUGUGAAAAUGAGCUCCGCGAAAUCUUAUUAUGAACUUAAUGAAAAAACCGGAAAGUGCACUUUAUGUUCUAAAAUUAUUAAAGCUAGUAGCAAUAGUUCAAAUUUAUUGUCGCACCUAAAAAAUAAGCACCAGGAUGCAUACACAAAAUGUAUUAGCAAGGUAUAUAUGCAUGUCUAAAAAGAGAGCUCCUCAAAAACAGAUGAAGAUUUGAUGCAAACAACUAUUUCUAAAUCGUUUAUGAAUGCUGAAAAUUUCCAGGACAAAACGAAGCAAGUAUGAAGGAUGUUCUUAUAAAAAAAUCAGAUGAAUAUUUAACCGGAUUGAGCAAAAACAAGAUUUUGAUUAAAGCUUCAUUAUUGGAUCCGCGCUUCAAAAAAAUGUAUGUACAUUCCUCCCACAAUGGUGUUGGAAGCCUCAAAGGACAUUCUGGAGGAGAUGCAACUUAAUAGCGAAGGAAAGAGACGCUCGUUAAACUUGCAACCGCCGGAAGAAUUAGAUAUAACAAAUUUCAACCGCCAAAAAGUUUUUUUGAGGCUCACAAUAGAAGCAUUCAGCAAACGAAAAGCUCGGACAGCCCCUCUGAAAAGGAGUUUAACUUAUAUAUUUCAUUGCCAAACUCCAAUUGGGAAGCUGACCCAAUAGAAUUCUGGACUUCCCAACAGCAGACAAUGCCACACAUUUCAAAGUUGGCACUACGUUACCUGAUAACACCAGGUAACUCAGUAUCCUCAGAAAGGAUGGCUUCGGCUAUCAAAUGUGUAGUGUGUGACUCACGCAGCCGUAUGACUGAUCGACAUGUAACACAGCUUGUAUUUUUAAAAUCAGUGGUCAAAUAAUACUGGAAAUAAAUUUAAGUUUAUCUAACGUAUAUACAUAUAUUAUAUAUUAAAAAGUAAUAAAAGCUU